ACAAAACAUAAACAAACAAACAGAAAAAAACCCCAAACCACCAAAAACCCCCCAACAACCAAAACCAAAAUAAAACAAAAGCAAGUUAUUUCAUGUCACAUUCACGGGAAGUCGUGGAAGGCAUGGGAACAGCGGGAAAAAUGUUUAAGAACCUGGGAAAGCAUAUUACACCACAUAACCAUCUUCCUCCAACAAAGCACAAGGUCGACUAAACAGCACAGGCAAAGACAAUUCGGCACGCAAAGCACAGGAAUACUGACUUCAGGCCAUGUGGCCAGGUCUCAGCAGGAACCAACUCGACUCUUCUCCAGCUGCUUCUGUCACAUGCUACACAUAGAGACAAGUACUUUGCUGUCCCCGAGUUAGAACAACAUAGUAAAUUUGCUUCGGAUUGGUUUGUGCUUUCUUAAGGUAAUGCAAACACACUCAGAUAAUAGCCAAAAGUUUGUUUACAAUUUACUUUUCAUGGGUGUUCACAUCUGACACGUUCUAGCAGGGAAGCAAAGUGUGGUCAAGUGAAUUCUGAAAACAUGCUGCCACUGGAAGCUGCAUCAACAUUUCCAGAACACAACUGAUCAUACAUUGACUAAUUAUUGUGAUCUAUUCAGGCAUUGAUGCACAGCUAAAAUAUCAAAUCUUAUCAAUUUGUUCACGAAGUUGCCCUGUUCUGAAAGUAAAAAUGGCAUUACAAUAUCCAAAUAGAUGUAACACAAAGACUAGCAGAGCUUCCAGCCAGAGAACACUUGAAUGUGUUUAACAAAUAAGUCUGCACACCCCUUUGCUACAGUUGUCUGAUUUGUGUUAUCACUUGUCACCAAAUGUUAGGAAGCCCAUGACAUUAUCAUUCUGUACCUUGGAAACAAGAAACUGUUAAAGCAUCCAUGACUGGAAAAUUGUAAGAUUAAGAAACUUUUUCAGGCUCUGAAUUAUCAAAUUAACAUAUUUUAAAGAAAUAUAAGAUAUAUGGCAAAGAUAAAGAAUCUUAAUUCAUCAUUCCAUUAAAGAUUACUUUAAAGAUUAUUUUCUUCUUGACACAUGAACAGAAUGCAAUAGUGCUUAAAGAAGCAAAUGAACAAAGCCGAAGACUUAUUUCAUCUCAUUCUGCAGAUGGCAAACAAACAUGACAUCAGUCAGAAAGCUGAGAUAUGCUGCAUUUCUCACAAAUUACUCACCCUCAUUAGAAACAGGUUUUGUAACAUUUAAAUAGGUUUGUUACUUACUUUCCCAGACUAUUACAGGAGCACAGCACAUAAAAUUUGCCUUAUUUUUAGGUUGCUAUUGAUCUUCUUUAUGCAUCACUUAAGUUCUAAAAUGAUGCCAAAUCCUCCAUUCCUUUUAGAGUUAUUUCUGCUACAGAUAUAUGAUGUAUUGUGUUUUGACAGCAAAUGAGACCAAGCUUUGGCAACCAGUAUUGAUUCAGAAGUAAAAAG
rnacentral:lncRNA from 1 species